rnacentral:rRNA from 1 species
GAUGAACGCUGGCGGCGUGCCUAAUACAUGCAAGUCGAGCGAACGGACGAGAAGCUUGCUUCUCUGAUGUUAGCGGCGGACGGGUGAGUAACACGUGGAUAACCUACCUAUAAGACUGGGAUAACUUCGGGAAACCGGAGCUAAUACCGGAUAAUAUUUUGAACCGCAUGGUUCAAAAGUGAAAGACGGUCCUGCUGUCACUUAUAGAUGGAUCCGCGCUGCAUUAGCUAGUUGGUAAGGUAACGGCUUACCAAGGCAACGAUGCAUAGCCGACCUGAGAGGGUGAUCGGCCACACUGGAACUGAGACACGGUCCAGACUCCUACGGGAGGCAGCAGUAGGGAAUCUUCCGCAAUGGGCGAAAGCCUGACAGAGCAACGCCGCGUGAGUGAUGAAGGUCUUCGGAUCGUAAAACUCUGUUAUUAGGGAAGAACAUAUGUGUAAGUAACUGUGCACAUCUUGACGGUACCUAAUCAGAAAGCCACGGCUAACUACGUG